AGGAAGAACCCUGAUUACCCUUUGUCCUACACCCUAAUCUUGAAGAUUUUCUUGAGUUCUUUCUUCGGCAUAACUUUGAGUUCGAAUCUAUACUCAUAUGCAAUAAACUACGUCUCCGCAACAUUUGCUUCCGUUAGCAUCAACACAAUUCCGGCUCUCACCUUUCUCGUUGCGGUUAUAUUUCGAUUUGAGACAUGUUCGAUAAGAACUUCAGCUGGAAUAGCAAAAUUGGUAGGCUCGGGUUUGAGUUUAUCG